rnacentral:rRNA from 1 species
GACGAACGCUGGCGGCGUGCUUAACACAUGCAAGUCGAACGGAAAGGCCCUGCUUUUGUGGGGUGCUCGAGUGGCGAACGGGUGAGUAACACGUGAGUAACCUGCCCUUGACUUUGGGAUAACUUCAGGAAACUGGGGCUAAUACCGGAUAGGAGCUCCUGCUGCAUGGUGGGGGUUGGAUAGUUUCGGCGGUUGGGGAUGGACUCGCGGCUUAUCAGCUUGUUGGUGGGGGAGUGGCUUACCAAGGCUUUGACGGGUAGCCGGCCUGAGAGGGUGGCCGGCCACAAUGGGACUAAGAUACGGCCCAGACUCCUACAGGAGGCAACGGUGGGGAAUAUUGCACAGUGAGCGGAAGCCUGAUACAGCGACGCCGCGUGCGGGAUGACGGCCUUCGGGUUGUAAACCGCUUUCGCCUGUGACGAAGCGUGAGUGACGGUAAUGGAUAAAGAAGCACCGGCUAACUACGUG